AACGCGAAGAACCUUACCUGGGCUUGACAUGCUGGUGAAAGCCGGUGGAAACACCGGCCCCUCUUCGGAGCGCCAGCACAGGUGCUGCAUGGCUGUCGUCAGCUCGUGUCGUGAGAUGUUGGGUUAAGUCCCGCAACGAGCGCAACCCUCGCUCCCAGUUGCCAGCGGUUCGGCCGGGGACUCUGGGGGGACUGCCGGCGUUAAGCCGGAGGAAGGUGGGGACGACGUCAAGUCAUCACGGCCCUUACGUCCAGGGCGACACACGUGCUACAAUGCCCGGUACAGCGCGUCGCGAACUCGCGAGAGGGAGCCAAUCGCUAAAAGCCGGGCUAAGUUCGGAUUGCAGUCUGCAACUCGACUGCAUGAAGCCGGAAUCGCUAGUAAUCGCGGAUCAGCCACGCCGCGGUGAAUACGUUCCCGGGCCUUGUA
rnacentral:rRNA from 2 species